AGGUAGACGAGCAGCAUACGGCCCACCUGAUGGUGAGGGGCAGAGCCAAGCCGCUGCCUACCGUUGAGUACUCUCCACAAGCCUCAGCUCAAGUACGCGGAAUAACAAGUAUACAAGAUAAUAAAAAGCCUCACCAGUAAGCCAAAUUGAAAAUGGCGAAAACAAGAGGAAACGUGAUCCUGGAGAUGACGUCGAUCCUCUUGGAGCGCGUGGGAAACUUGGACAUCCAGAGCCGGCAGCAGUUCUUCCUGGGCUGGCUGAUGUGGAUCUCGCACUGCCGCAUCUUAGUGUCCACGCCACCGCGGACCAGAGGUUUCUGUUAGUUGCAGACCAGUCAGGGAGAACGAACAUAAUAUAUUUCCAGAAUACUA